GAUGAACGCUAGCGACAGGCUUAACACAUGCAAGUCGAGGGGCAGCGAGGUGGUAGCAAUACCGCUGUCGGCGACCGGCGCACUGGUGAGUAACACGUAUACGACCUGCCCCCUACAGGGGUAUAACCCGUAGAAAUGCGGACUAAUCCCCCAUAGUCCCGCGGGCUGCAUGGCCUGCGGGGGAAAGGGUUUCCGGUAGGGGAUGGGCAUGCGGCGCAUUAGCUAGUUGGCGGGGCAACGGCCCACCAAGGCGACGAUCAGUAGGGGUUCUGAGAGGAAGGUCCCCCANAUUGGAACUGAGACACGGUCCAAACUCCUACGGGAGGCAGCAGUGAGGAAUAUUGGUCAAUGGGCAGAGCCUGAACCAGCCAAGUAGCGUGCAGGACGACGGCCCUAUGGGUUGUAAACCUGGCCUUUUUAUAAGGGGAUAAAGUGAGUCUCGUGAGACUUAUUGCAUGUACCUUAUGAAU
rnacentral:rRNA from 1 species